AUAUUCUCAAACCACAUUGAUUCUUUCGGUGUGGCUUGGAAGUGGGGGUUGUGCAGGCUUUAGAAAUGAAGUCUGCUCCCCUGAAAUGCAUUAGUGGUAUCUGAGCAGAAGAACUACUACAGGUGUGAUAAUUUAUCUACGCCUUGGUAUACUGCAGAAACAGAUUGCGCUGCUUAUAACAACAUUUUUGUUUUAUUU
rnacentral:misc_RNA from 1 species